CAGUUCCAUAACUCACCUCUCUAAUCUUGAGGCUGUGGGAGCUUACAAAAUCAGUGGGUGUUUAGCCAGUGUAGUCAUCUCUUACGUAUUUAGAGAAAGUAAAGCAUGACUAUGGCUAAGGUGGAAUGGCUGGAUGAGGAGCUGCUGGGUAGUCUGGAAGUGAUGAAGCCUGCUUAUCCAUGGGGGAGGUGAUGUGGGACAGCACUAUCUGCAUUGCUACUAGCCCUCAUUUUGGGCCAAGAUUGCGCUCACCUUGUGCUAUUGCAAGUUCACAGACCGUUAUUGGACUAAUUCUUCAGGACUGGGCAUGUGAACGAGACUGCCAUAAGAAGACAACAGGGAAGAACACCUGGUGCUCUCCAUGGCUAGAAGCCAUCUCUGACAGACAUGAAAUUUCAGAACAUCAAGAGAGGAACAUGCUCUGAAAAAGGCAAGAAGUAUUUUCUGACACUCCUUAUGUGGAAAUCCAGCUUGUUGCAGAUGACGUCUUAUGAAACUGGUCAAAUACUGUGGAAAAGACAAACCUUGAACUUGAGUAAUAGUGAGCGUCUUCAGUAAUCUUUCUGUUGCACUUUAUGGCUGGAAGGAAAUGAAGGUGUUUGCACUUCCAGUUCUUUGCAUGCCAUCUCAAAGGGAUGCUGAGUGAUGCAAUACACAAAUCCCAUUGCUACAGAGUGAAUGAAUACUUGAAAGCUAAAUCUGCCCAUGAAUACCUGCAAGAAAUGUCAGACUUGGAAGGAAAGCUCCAAAGGGAAAAAAAAUUACCUACAUGCUGACAGAUCAGGCUUUCAUAUCCCAUCUGCUGAUGAGAAAUGAGAUAAAGGUGAUAACUUCUUGAGAGAUAGUUGUGUAUUGAUCCUCUUCCCAAGGAAAGGAAGAUGUGACACAUGAUACUUUUUACCUUCCCCUUGUACUUCUUACAUGCUGGGAGUGGUAAGGAGGGUUUCCACAUGAGCUGAACUGAAGCCUUGGAACCCUGCGGUUCCCUCCGAUAAACAGCUGUGUGUGUACAUUGUGACCCACCAAUCACCACUGUAAUGAAUCUCAGAAGCAGUAGGACUUCAUUCUUUUCUUCUGAAAGUGAAUUGUGAUUUUUUCCCAAUCAACCAGAUCAACAGCAUUCAGUUGUACAAACCAGGCCCUUACCGCUGAACCAAGAUUUUGUGAAGUUUUCGCCUUUGACCUAAUUGCUGAAGAGAACCUCCCUACAGUUUUCACCAUCUCUCUCAGCUUGGUCUAUCCUCUGUGUCCCUCCAAGCGUGGAUUUAGAUCACCUUUUCAGUCAUGCAAGCUCAUCCAAACACACGCUGCUGUGUCACAGUCUCAUGUGUUCACAGUGCAGCUCAACAGCUUCUCUUCCACUCAAGGGACUAUUCAGUGUGCUGUUUUCUGAACUCCAGGAAUAAAAGUGUUGGUGUUGCACUGGACUUUUCUGGAAGCUGUGUUUCAUUGGUAGCAGCCUGACUUCAAGCCUUCUCCACCAUAUUCACCCACACGCCCCUUGGCUUAUUCCUCAAACCAUGCCAAGAACCUGCACCUCAGCUACAUGACUUGGAUGUGUCACAUGGCUGUCCUGUCACCAAACGAGGAGGUUUGUCAAGCAUAGUCUAAAAGCCUGUAUCAAGAUGGCAAUCCCACUGUCCUAUGCAUCCUGAAUCCUGCUUUCAGUGGAGCAAUGAAGAGAUUUCGAGGCCCAUACCGACAUCUGUUAUAUGCACAAAUGUAAAGAGGUACACGUAUUCCUACGCACGUGGGAGUGAGUGUGUGUGGACACACUUGCUCAUGCACAUGUGCACUUUACUUCGCUUUGAGAGUCUGAUGCACAGCGAGAGAAUUUUAAUCCCAUUUAUUGACCUUUCUGAGAAGUGAAGGGGAAGAGGGGAGUGGGAAGCAUACACACCUGCAGUCUAUUUCCAUUAAAGAGAUGACCUUAAGAUGGUAGAGAUGAGAUGGAGGAAGAAUACUGACCAUUUCUAGGAGCUUUGUUCACAAAACAUACAAUACAUGGCCUCAGAAGCCUGCAGUGAACUCUUGCCACUGGAAUGAAGAAAGAUAAUGCCAGGGGGUCACGGAGCAGCAAGUGCAACUGAUUAGAGGUCUAAGUCUUAAGAUGGCAGCAGGGAAAAUGUUCAGUGACCAAAUCAAUCUGCUAAAUGACCUUUCUUCCAGAUGCGUACAACGUUAUUCUUUUAAAGCUGAAUUUGCAUUCAGGUGCUUUAGCUUAGCUGGUUUGGAAGGCACUGGAAGCUGAGUGACUGUCUGUGGGAAGAUAAUUUAGAACAAAGGGUUCACGAGAGCAUUUCUUUAGCAUGAAAUAUACCCGCCUGAUAUUUGAAAAUGGAACUACAAGG